AAGACUAUACUUUCAGGGAUCAUUUCUAUAGUUUGUCUAAGCCAGACUAAGCCAGGCCCCUGAGAGAGAGUAGGGCAGAGGAGUGAGGAGACCAGAGCUGCAAACAGCCUGCCCACAUUCAAGUUCAGGGUCAAGUUUCAGCUCUGCACUGACUGGC
rnacentral:snoRNA from 1 species